UGACAAGGCUUCAUACACCAUGGUACAAUGAUCUACGGCAGUUGAUGCUGGGUUUAAUUCCUCUGGACUAAUGAAUGAGUGAAUAUUUAUUCAGCAAGUAGACUUGAAACCUGGUUCAAUGCUAACAACAUUCUUGACUCAGAGUUACUUCUAGCACUGUCUCCCAGUGACCAGGAGAGUGGAAAACCCUAGUCGCAGAGGCAGAAUGUUGCCAAAACCAACCAACCAACCAACCAACCAACCAACCAACCAACCAACAAAGUAACAAGGUUGGGGAUGGAAUCUCACCGUAUUGAAGAACCCGAAGAUGACAUGAAAUGCAAAACAGGCUGCGCUAGACGUGGAUAAAGAGUGCGACUGCUGGAAGUGAAGAGCUUGAGGAAACAGACUGACCUAAAUAAUCAUACAGGGUAAGCUUUUGACUGUAUUGUGAGAACAAAGUGAACUGGACACUGCUAUCUUCUAAGUCUGUUCUCCUGAGGAAUAAGGGUUAAUAAUUAUGACACACACAACACAUGCAGACACCUAUGUAUUUAUCCAGUACAAAAUGACCUAUACCAAGAACACAGUGAAUUUCUCACCUGAUAAUGACUUUAUUCUACAGCCAUGGGCUUUGUUUUUUUUUUUUCCCUUUUCUUGUAUUAAAUGGCUAAAUUGUUUAAGACAGGAUACUGGCAGUCACUACUUUCUGCCUAUGUUGUGUCUCCUUCUUGUUUGGCUUGUUUUUCCACAGCCUAGCUGGCCCUUAACCAUGUCCCUGAUGUCUUCCUGUCUUGUUCCCACAUUGUGAAGGAUACAAGAACCCUUAUUGUAGAGAGAUUUAAGGAUCUCGAUGCUUAAAAUACAUUGUUUGGUUAAGAAUAAUAACAAAUUCAGCUGAGUUCAGUGAAAUAUGUAUCAACGAUAUUAGAAGAUACCAUUGGAUGAUAGAAACUACAGUUGCUUUUGUUUCAAAAAAAAAAAAGACGUGAGUGAACUCUUUUGAUAUUUCUGAGAUUGAUCGAGCUGGCAUAAAGAUAUAUGUAAGUUUGUCUUAGCAGCAAACUAGUGAAAUGGUAGCUCUAAGAAACAUGAGCAGAAUUCUGAAACCAAGUCGUCAGAUUACUAAUGCAUUUGUUAUCUUUCGAUUGUCUACACUCAGCGAAGUGGUGUAACUUAACGAUGCUUUGCCAUUAAUCAGAAAUAGCCUAAAAACAUGCACAUAGAACACAAACCUGGAUUGCAGGAUUGCAGGAGGAGUAAAACAAAGGGAAAGUUCCAGAGAAAGUUAUGCCAUUUAACACUGCUGGGGGCUGACUUCCUGGGAAUUCACAAUUUUAGAAACUGGCAUUUAUGUUCAUACAAUCACGAUACUCUUCUCAGGGAUAGACAGUGCUCGCGCUUUUGAUUAACACAACUUACUGAAGAACAUAGAAGGACGAGCACGUGCCUCAGAUUAAAAUAUAACAGCCGAAAAGACAGCAGCAUCACUUUUUCCUCACAAUCUUAGAACGCUCAACUAUGAUUGAUUUCAUACUCACAUACAAAUGCACUGUUAAUGUAGAAAUAAAUGCUUCCUGGCUAAAUAUUCACUUCCUCGAAUCCGCCCGCCAUCCUCUGGUUUGAGGAAAAGCAGGGGAAUUGAGCAGUAAUUAAAUGCUAAUGUUUUUGUGAUCCAUGUAAAUGUUACUGUGAAGGAACAAUUCCCAGAGUUGAGGGAGUUCCUAAGAAGAGAGAUACCUGAUGGGGUAUGUAGGCUGUGCGUUGGCCAGGCAGGCUGGUUGUAACAAAUGGCAAAUAGAUCCCCUAAAGAUAAGAGAGUAGCAGAAGUCAGGGUUGGGGAGAUGAACAGGAAGUAAGAGGCAAGUAUCCAGGGAGAUGCCAAGUGGGUAGGGAAUUCUGCUCACCAGGACUGAUGAAGCUAGCCUGCCAUUCAGCUCAAAGGGCCCUAAAAUUGCAGCAGCACAGCCAUAAAGUGGCUAGAAACAAACAUCAUUACAGGCCUGAAGUGGCAGCCAGGGAGAGCGUUGAGUACCAGGCAGGAGAGAGGUGGCGACAGACUGCCCUGACUUGCCACUCUCUCUCUUCCAAACAGGCUCUUUUGCUUCCAUGAUGCGGGAGCAUAAAGAGACAGAAACCUGGACCAUGCAACCCAGGAAGCUGAUAAGCUGCAGACAAGAGAGCUAACUCAGGAAGGAAGCAGAUUAGAGAGAAGAGAAAAAGAAGAAGCUGCCGGGAAGUUUCUUCAAACAACCUGUAUCGUUCGCUAUGAAGAAUUAACUUUCCCAUGAAGACUCUAUGACUGUUCCUUUAAUACUGUUCCACCUGUUAUUAAAACAGCUUAAAAGCAGCAUACUGUACGUGGGUACAGUAUGACAAGACAAAGGGGACCAAUAAAGAAUCGGGACCAGGAAGAGUGAUUGCAGACAACGGACACAAAUUAUGGAAGAGGAUAUGAAGAUAAUUGUUUUGCAAGUUCUAAAUCUGUUGGGGAGAUUUUGCUUGUGGUGGUUAAUAACUGCAUAGAGAGAUAUUCAGCAGUGAAAGAAUAAAAUUCAAUAUGAAGCUUCACAACUUCUAUGAACAGUAACUUCCACUGUAGAAGUUCACUGAAAAGUAUAGCCUUUGGACUGUUGUUAUUGUAUUAUUAUUAUCGUCAUCAUCGUCAUCGUCAUCAUCAUCAUCACCAUUAUUACUUGAAACUUUGAAAAUAAAAGUUAAAUGUUUUUGACGUGAUAUUUCUAUUAGAUACAUGAUUUAUUCUGCUGUGGAUAAACAGAAUUUUCUUUUUAAAAGUUCUUCUGGAAAGCUGGGCUUUCACUGAACUUUGCUUUGAGAAAAGUUACAGCUUUUGAAGUCACCGUAUACGUAAAGGUGCCUAUAUAUUUGUAAAUUGUUACUCUCACUUGGAAUCCCAGUGGUCCUCCAAAGUGAACCUUUUGAGUGAAGGGACAAUGCCUGAAGAACUUUUGGUCUGAUUUCAUGCACAAGAUCAGUGCAGUUUGAAAUUCCUGCAUGGAGCAGGGAGUUACUCCAAGGCCCAAUUCCAAAUUGAUGGCUGACCUGGGAGCGAGAGUUGCCUUUCAUUGUUGGGGUCCCCACUGGACGGCUGCGUAUGCUCAGCUAUACAAGGAUGGAUGUCACUGUUUGGACUCUGUGAGCUAUAAAAAGCAAACAGAGGGCUUGAAACUAAAAGGGAGGGGAACUCAGGGGGCUCAAGGGAAAGAAAUGAGGGUGAAUAUAUUAAGAUCCAUCUAUGAAAAUUUCAAAGAGUAAGAAUAAAUUAAGAUAGCCCUAAAGAAAAUUGUUUUGAAGAGAAAAUGUUUCCAGUUUAUUGCAGCCCAUACUUUUAAAUCAUUCUUAUUUUAAAAUUAAGUUAGAUUUAUUAGUCUAACUAUUGCUUACUUUCUGAUUUAUGUUUUUAUUAGAUUUAAUUACAUUUAACAUUAAAGUUAUUUUUAUUGGUUUGCUCUGCCAAUUUUAAAAUAGACUGAAAUGAGUAAAUUUCUAUUUCUUAAGUUAAUACAACUAAGCGAAUUUUCUGAGUGCAUCGGUGUUUGUAUCUUUGUGUUCUCUGUGUACUUACUUGUCUUUCAACAUGUCAUGAGAAUUAAUUCCUUCAAAUUUUACUUGUAAUAAAUAUAUCACCUAGUC